AUUGGCAAGUCUUCAAUUUUUUGCUGCGUUGCAGCAGCAUCCCAGUGUUCUUGUCCCAGUCUUAUGCUUCUCUGCCAAGGCCCUGACUGCUUCAGAAUUGGAGAGCAUCUUCAGACCACAUCUUAGCCCAGCAGGAAGCAACAUGCGGCAGAAGGAGAGCAAAACACUUGGCUUUUGGGCAGAUUUUCUUCUUGAUUCUGAAGAGAAAUUGACGGCUGUGUCCCUGGAAGAUUUGUUGAUGUUUGCCACAGGUCUGGCAGCGCUUCCACCAGCAGGCAUGACACCACCUCCUCGCAUUGAGUUUUUAAGUAAUUCACCUUUUCCGGUUGCAAACACCUGUGCAAAUACACUUAAGCUACCGCUCUUGGACUCAUACAGUGUUUUUAAGAGAAACAUGGACUUUGGAAUACAAAAUGCUCCAGGAUUUGGGUGUUUUUUAAUCUUAAAGGUCUCACGUCGGUCACUGACUCUCAUCAGUCCAGUUGCUGUUGGACUACUUCUGUAAAGGUACUUUUGUUCUUCUGUAAAGGUACAUUUGUAACACACUGAUGUAAGCAACUUUGCAGUUUUGUUAAACAUUUAGCCAUUUCUUGGAUCUAAAUGGUGUGUUCCAUAAACAAAUGUUUACUCAAAUGCUGAACACUUUCUAAAAAGAGUUUUAUUUAGAAUGUAAAGUGUU